AAAACAUGGAGGUCUUAGGUGGUCAAAACCGUGGCGGUGGCUCAGAAUCCAGCUUAUCGUCCCAGCUCUGCACCCAGUCAAACCAGUCAGUGAGGACAGGAUUUAUUCCUCUGUGUGUUCUGUGUAGUUCUUACGAAGGUAUCCAACACACCUCUUCAGGAAAACACACAGCGGAGUCCAUGAAUAAACGGA
rnacentral:lncRNA from 1 species